rnacentral:rRNA from 1 species
GACGAACGCUGGCGGCGUGCUUAACUCAUGCAAGUCGAACGAAGAGCCACGGCUGCUGGCUUCUGUCAAUCUUAGUGGCGAACGGGUGAGUAACGCGUAAUCAACCUUCCCUUCAGGGGGGGAUAACAGUGGGAAACGACUGCUAAUACCGCAUACGACCUAUUCUCGGCAUCGAGGGUGGAUGAAAGGUGGUCGCGACAUGUAAGCCUUCACUGAAGUCGGUGAUUGGGUCGGAUUAGCUAGUUGGCGGGGAAACGGCCCACCAAGGGGAUGGUUAGUAGCCGGCCAGAGAGGAUGAACGGCCACGUUGGGAGUGGGACACGGCCCACACUCCUACGGGGGGCAGCAGUGGGGGACUCCCCGCAGUGGACGAAGGUCUGACGGAGCAACGCCGCGGGAGUGAUGACGGCAUUCGGGUUGUGAAGCUGUGUUAAUCGGGACGAAAGGCCUUCUUGCGAAUAGUGGGAAGGAUUGACGGUACCGGGAGAGAAAGCCACGGCUAACUACGUG